UCUGCAUCAACAAUUUCUGGAAGCAGAGAGUCCCUGAACCUUGGAGCAAGGAGAGAUGUAACAUACAACCUCGGAGGGGUUGGAGGAGAGGUCCAUGGAGAUCACUGGCUCAGCCUUCUCGUUUUCCAGAUGAUUUUUUUUUUAGUCCAAAGAGACUAAAUGACUUGACUAAGGCCACACAGCAUGUCAGCAGGCCAGCUAGGACUCCACCCACAGCCCCUGAGUCUGGGCAUCCCUGUGCUGUUUCUGAGCAAGGCUGCCUCACUUCAUUUUAGUUUAGUCUGUGUGACUUGAGCACAAGUUCUGCACACAAAACUGUGUAAGGCCACUAACAGCACUUACAGAGCAGUGCUAUCCCUUCCUUCCUUUGAAUGGUGGAGGUGGAGACAGUACAUACAAGAGUUAGUCAAGACAAGGAUGAGGGUGCAGGGAGGAAGCUGAGCCCUUCCAUGCCACCUCCAUG
rnacentral:sRNA from 1 species